AGUAGUUAUUGUUAUUGAAUAAGUAUAGAUGCUCACUGAAAUUGAAUCAGAAUAUUCUUUGAAUCGGUUCAUUUGAAAUUGUAUGUUUGCUUAUAAGCUAAGCUAUUGUUAUUAAGUUUAUUUUUCUUUAAUUUUUCAGGGACUUCUUGGUAAGAUGAGAAAGUUGUUGGCCUGGUUUGGAAAAUGGUAGAGGGAAAAGAAAGCAAGACAGUGCCCCCUUCCCCUCAAGUUCUCACACUUACCUUCCAAAGUUUAUGUAACUCAAACAAUUUAACGGUGCUCCAUUUUAUCGUAGUCAUUCAGCUGUUUGAUGGCCUUGAAGCGUAUUUGAUGUGUCGAACUGUUAUCACUCAUAUUGUGUUCCAACUAAAGAAAGCGGACAUUGCUUAUAUAAGACACCUUUCUGCCAGGCUUCCUGAGGUUAGACAUCUAUUAUCUAUAUCUUUCAUUGAACUUAAUGAUUUUAUUUCUAGUUGACUACAAGAAUCAAGUUGCAGCCCGCAGACAUCUAUUAUCUACAAGAAUCAAGUUUCAGGUGAAGAAGCUCUGCACCAGAGGGAAGAUUAAAUCAAAUAGUAGAUAAAGAUCUAAUGGGAGAGUAACUUAUUUAAAUGGGAAGAAAUUGUCCACGUUGCACUCAUGUGUAGACAUUUUAGGUGACUUUGUUCAUUAUGUGGAAUUGCAUAUGCCUCUAAGUACUAAGGCACCACAUGUAGUUAUGAAUUUUGUGACAAUCUGAGCUAGUAAUUAAGGCUUUUUUCAUGUACCAAAGAUCAACUAUUUUGAAA